rnacentral:rRNA from 1 species
UACGGGGGGAGCAAGCGUUGUUCGGAUUUACUGGGCGUAAAGGGCGCGUAGGCGGCCUCCGCAAGUCGACUGUGAAAUCUCCGGGCUUAACCCGGAAAGGUCAGCCGAAACUGCGGGGCUAGAGUGCAGAAGGGGCAACUGGAAUUCUCGGUGUAGCGGUGAAAUGCGUAGAUAUCGAGAGGAACACCUGCGGCGAAGGCGGGUUGCUGGGCUGACACUGACGCUGAGGAGCGAAAGCAUGGGGAGCGAACAGG